rnacentral:rRNA from 1 species
UCCGGUUGAUCCUGCCGGACCUCACUGCUAUCGGGGUGGGACUAAGACAUGCAAGUCGUACGCCUCCCAGCCGCCGGGGGAGGCGUGGCGCACGGCUCCGUAACACGUGGCUAACCCACCCUUGGGACGGGGAUAACCCCGGGAAACUGGGGCUAAUCCCCGAUAGGCGAGGAUGCCUGGAAUGGUUCCUCGCCGAAAGGGCGCCGGAACCGUGCUUCCGGUGUCGCCCAAGGGUGGGGCCGCGGCCGAUCAGGUUGUUGGUGGGGUAACGGCCCACCAAGCCGAUAACCGGUACGGGCCGUGAGAGCGGGAGCCCGGAGAUGGGCACUGAGAUAAGGGCCCAGGCCCUACGGGGCGCAGCAGUCGCGAAACCUCCGCAAUGCGCGAAAGCGCGACGGGGCCACCCCGAGUGCCGCCCGCUGAGGGUGGCUUUUCCCCGGUGUAGAUAGCCGGGGGAAUAAGGGGAGGGCAAGUCUGGUGUCAGCCGCCGCGGUAAUACCAGCUCCCCGAGUGGUGGGGACGAUUAUUGGGCCUAAAGCGUCCGUAGCCGGCCCGGCAAGUCUCCCGUUAAAUCCAGCGAUCUAAUCGCUGGACUGCGGGAGAUACUGUCGGGCUAGGGGGCGGGAGAGGCCGGCGGUAUUCCCGGGGUAGGGGUGAAAUCCUAUAAUCCCGGGAGGACCACCAGUGGCGAAGGCUGCCGGCUGGAACGCGCCCGACGGUGAGGGACGAAAGCCGGGGGAGCGAACCGGAUUAGAUACCCGGGUAGUCCCGGCUGUAAACGAUGCGGGCUAGGUGUUGGCACGGCUACGAGCCGUGCCAGUGCCGCAGGGAAGCCGUUAAGCCCGCCGCCUGGGGAGUACGGCCGCAAGGCUGAAACUUAAAGGAAUUGGCGGGGGAGCAC